AGUCGUAAACAGGUUUUCCGUAGGUGAACUUGCGGAAGGAUCAUUACCGAGUGAGGGCCCUUUGGGGUCCAACCUCCCACCGGUGUUUAUUUUACCUUGUUGCUUCGGCGGGCCCGCCUUUACUGGCCGCCGGGGGGCUCACGCCCCCGGGCCCGCGCCCGCCGAAGACACCCCCGAACUCUGUCUGAAGAUUGAAGUCUGAGUGAAAAUAUAAAUUAUUUAAAACUUUCAACAACGGAUCUCUUGGUUCCGGCAUCGAUGAAGAACGCAGCGAAAUGCGAUACGUAAUGUGAAUUGCAAAUUCAGUGAAUCAUCGAGUCUUUGAACGCACAUUGCGCCCCCUGGUAUUCCGGGGGGCAUGCCUGUCCGAGCGUCAUUGCUGCCCUCAAGCCCGGCUUGUGUGUUGGGCCCCGUCCUCCGAUUCCGGGGGACGGGCCCGAAAGGCAGCGGCGGCACCGCGUCCGGUCCUCGAGCGUAUGGGGCUUUGUCACCCGCUCUGUAGGCCCGGCCGGCGCUUGCCGAUCAACCCAAAUUUUUAUCCAGGUUGACCUCGAUCAGGUA
rnacentral:rRNA from 1 species